rnacentral:tRNA from 1 species
GGCUUUAUAGUCAAUUUUGGUAUGAUGUUAGAUUGCAAUUCUAAAGUAGGUAUUAGCCUAAAGCUU